GUCCUCAUGGCCAAGUGGAUACGGCGCUUGCCUCCGGAGCAAGAGAUCGUGGGUUCGAACCCCACUGAAGACU